GCAAGUCGAGCGGAAACGAGUUAUCUGAACCUUCGGGGGACGAUAACGGCGUCGAGCGGCGGACGGGUGAGUAAUGCCUAGGAAAUUGCCCUGAUGUGGGGGAUAACCAUUGGAAACGAUGGCUAAUACCGCAUGAUGCCUACGGGCCAAAGAGGGGGACCUUCGGGCCUCUCGCGUCAGGAUAUGCCUAGGUGGGAUUAGCUAGUUGGUGAGGUAAGGGCUCACCAAGGCGACGAUCCCUAGCUGGUCUGAGAGGAUGAUCAGCCACACUGGAACUGAGACACGGUCCAGACUCCUACGGGAGGCAGCAGUGGGGAAUAUUGCACAAUGGGCGCAAGCCUGAUGCAGCCAUGCCGCGUGUGUGAAGAAGGCCUUCGGGUUGUAAAGCACUUUCAGUCGUGAGGAAGGUAGUGUAGUUAAUAGCUGCAUUAUUUGACGUUAGCGACAGAAGAAGCACCGGCUAACUCCGUGCCAGCAGCCGCGGUAAUACGGAGGGUGCGAGCGUUAAUCGGAAUUACUGGGCGUAAAGCGCAUGCAGGUGGUUUGUUAAGUCAGAUGUGAAAGCCCGGGGCUCAACCUCGGAAUUGCAUUUGAAACUGGCAGACUAGAGUACUGUAGAGGGGGGUAGAAUUUCAGGUGUAGCGGUGAAAUGCGUAGAGAUCUGAAGGAAUACCGGUGGCGAAGGCGGCCCCCUGGACAGAUACUGACACUCAGAUGCGAAAGCGUGGGGAGCAAACAGGAUUAGAUACCCUGGUAGUCCACGCCGUAAACGAUGUCUACUUGGAGGUUGUGGCCUUGAGCCGUGGCUUUCGGAGCUAACGCGUUAAGUAGACCGCCUGGGGAGUACGGUCGCAAGAUUAAAACUCAAAUGAAUUGACGGGGGCCCGCACAAGCGGUGGAGCAUGUGGUUUAAUUCGAUGCAACGCGAAGAACCUUACCUACUCUUGACAUCCAGAGAACUUUCCAGAGAUGGAUUGGUGCCUUCGGGAACUCUGAGACAGGUGCUGCAUGGCUGUCGUCAGCUCGUGUUGUGAAAUGUUGGGUUAAGUCCCGCAACGAGCGCAACCCUUAUCCUUGUUUGCCAGCGAGUAAUGUCGGGAACUCCAGGGAGACUGCCGGUGAUAAACCGGAGGAAGGUGGGGACGACGUCAAGUCAUCAUGGCCCUUACGAGUAGGGCUACACACGUGCUACAAUGGCGCAUACAGAGGGCAGCCAACUUGCGAAAGUGAGCGAAUCCCAAAAAGUGCGUCGUAGUCCGGAUUGGAGUCUGCAACUCGACUCCAUGAAGUCGGAAUCGCUAGUAAUCGUGGAUCAGAAUGCCACGGUGAAUACGUUCCCGGGCCUUGUACACACCGCCCGUCACACCAUGGGAGUGGGCUGCAAAAGAAGUAGGUAGUUUAACCUUCGGGGGGACG
rnacentral:rRNA from 1 species